UGCACAUUUCUUCUACCACACCAUCUUCAGUAAAAUGCUGAUGAGUUGAGACUGCUGUUUGUGUUAGGUCAGAACAAAAAAUUGUGAAAGAAUUUGGAUCUACUGAACCAUAGUCUGGCUCAUCAAUAGUGACAGAACAGUUUACAAGAUGGUUUAGACCUUUGGACCAAUUACCAAAAGCUG